GACAGAGGGUGCAAACGUUGUUCGGAAUUACUGGGCGUAAAGCGCGUGUAGGCGGCCCUGCAAGUCGGAUGUGAAAUCCCACGGCUCAACCGUGGAAGUGCAUUCGAAACUGCAGGGCUAGAGUCCUGGAGAGGAAGGUGGAAUGCUUGGUGUAGAGGUGAAAUUCGUAGAUAUCAAGCGGAACACCGAUGGCGAAGGCAGGUCUCUGGGCCGAUACUGACGCUGAGGAGCGAAAGCGUGGGGAGCGAACAGG
rnacentral:rRNA from 1 species